rnacentral:rRNA from 1 species
CUAAUACCGGAUACUGACCCUCGCAGGCAUCUGCGAGGUUCGAAAGCUCCGGCGGUGAAGGAUGAGCCCGCGGCCUAUCAGCUUGUUGGUGAGGUAAUGGCUCACCAAGGCGACGACGGGUAGCCGGCCUGAGAGRGCGACCGGCCACACUGGGACUGAGACACGGCCCAGACUCCUACGGGAGGCAGCAGUGGGGAAUAUUGCACAAUGGGCGAAAGCCUGAUGCAGCGACGCCGCGUGAGGGAUGACGGCCUUCGGGUUGUAAACCUCUUUCAGCAGGGAAGAAGCGAAAGUGACGGUACCUGCAGAAGAAGCGCCGGCUAACUACGUGCCAGCAGCCGCGGUAAUACGUAGGGCGCAAGCGUUGUCCGGAAUUAUUGGGCGUAAAGAGCUCGUAGGCGGCUUGUCACGUCGGUUGUGAAAGCCCGGGGCUUAACCCCGGGUCUGCAGUCGAUACGGGCAGGCUAGAGUUCGGUAGGGG